UACGUAGGGGGCAAGCGUUGUCCGGAAUCAUUGGGCGUAAAGAGCGUGUAGGCGGCCCGAUAAGUCCGCUGUGAAAGUCCAGGGCUCAACCCUGGAAUGCCGGUGGAUACUGUCGGGCUCGAAUCCGGAAGAGGUGAGUGGAAUUCCUGGUGUAGCGGUGAAAUGCGCAGAUAUCAGGAGGAACACCAAUGGCGAAGGCAGCUCACUGGGACGGUAUUGACGCUGGAGAACGCGAAAGCCGUGGGGGAGCAAACAGG
rnacentral:rRNA from 1 species